AACGAACGCUGGCGGCAUGCCUAACACAUGCAAGUCGAACGAGACCUUCGUGUCUAGUUGCUCACGGGUGCGUAACGCGUGGGAACCUUCCCUUAGGUUCCGAAUAACUCCCCGAAAGGGGUGCUAAUACCGGAUAAUUUCUUCGGACCAAAGAUUUAUCGCCUUUGGAUGGGCCCGCGUUGGAUUAGCUAGUUGGUAGGGUAAAAGCCUACCAAGGCGACGAUCCAUAGCUGGUCUGAGAGGAUGAUCAGCCACACUGGGACUGAGACACGGCCCAGAAUACUACGGGAGGCAGCAGUGCGGAAUACUGGACAAUGGGCGAAAGCAUGAUCCAGCAAUGCCGGGUGAGUGAUGAAGGCCUUAGGGUUGUAAAGCUCUUUUACCCGGGAUGAUAAUGACAGUACCGGGAGAAUAAGCUCCGGCUAACUCCGUG
rnacentral:rRNA from 1 species